GACGAACGCUGGCGGCGUGGAUUAGGCAUGCAAGUCGAACGGUAUCAUCCUUUCGGGGGUGAGAGAGUGGCGAACUGGUGAGUAACACGUAGGUUAUCUACCCUCAAGACGGGGACAACCCAGGGAAACUUGGGCUAAUACCGGAUGUGAGCAACUUUUAGUUGUUUGAAAGGUGGCGUAAGCUGUCGCUUGGGGAUGAGCCUGCGUCCUAUUAGUUAGUUGGUGAGGUAACGGCUCACCUAGGCAAUGAUAGGUAGGCGGCCUUAACGGGUGGUCGCCCACACUGGGAUUGAGAUACGGCCCAGACUCCUACGGGAGGCAGCAGUCGAGAAUAGUCUACAAUGGUCGGAAGACUGAUAGUGCGACGCCGCGUGAACGAUGAAUCCCUUCGGGGUGUAAAGUUCUUUUAUAUGUGAGCAGUGCUUCUUAUAUUAACAGUAUGGGGAGAGAGAUAUUAGCAUAUGAAUAAAGCAACGGCUAACUCCCGUGCCAGCAGCCGCGGUAAAAUA
rnacentral:rRNA from 1 species